UAACAUCGUUUCAAUUUUCCCUUUCGUCUUGAGAGAGAGAAUCGGUGUAUUGCAUCUGAAUUGGAGGGGCUUUGGUUCACAGAAAAUAGGAAACCAAACCCUAAUAUAAGUCCCAAAUCACAAUCACAGCAUCAGAAGAGAGGUCUCUCGCCGAUUGUUUUGUAUCUGCAGUUCACUCCUUACGAAUUCCGAGUAUCUCCGUUUGCUGUGGCCUUUCACUUUCUUCUCUAAUCAGCGCGUAGAACCACAACAACGCUUCGCAGGACCAAAAGAACUGUUAUAGUGUGUACAAACUGCCGGCGAAUAUGGAAGAAGAUGAUUAUGUGGAGUAUGUGCCCGUGGCCAAGCGUCGUGCCUUGGAAGCUCAGAAGAUUCUCCAACGCAAAGGGAAGGCCUCUGCUGUCACUGACGAUGAUUUGGAGAAACAAAGAGUGGCUGAAACUAAGCCCAGUCUUCUGGUUAAAGCGUCGCAGCUGAAACGAGAGCAACCUGAGAUCAGUGUGACCGAGCAGAUUGUUCAACAGGAGAAGGAGAUGAUUGAAAACUUGUCAGAUAGGAAAACCCUCAUGUCUGUCCGCGAAUUGGCCAAGGGGAUUACUUAUACGGAACCUUUGCCUACAGGGUGGAAGCCGCCUUUGCAUGUGAGAAGGAUGUCUAAGAAGGAGUGUGAUUUGAUUCGAAAGCAGUGGCAUAUAAUUGUUGAUGGCGGUGAUAUCCCACCCCCGAUUAAGAAUUUUAAGGAUAUGAGGUUUCCGGAGCCGGUUUUGAAGAAGUUGAAAGCUAAGGGGAUUGUACAACCAACACCCAUUCAGGUGCAAGGUCUGCCUGUUAUCUUAUCUGGGCGGGAUAUGAUUGGGAUUGCAUUCACGGGCUCAGGAAAAACUCUGGUCUUUGUGCUUCCGAUGAUCAUGAUGGCAAUGCAAGAGGAAAUCAUGAUGCCUAUUGUUCCUGGAGAAGGUCCAUUUGGUUUGAUUAUUUGUCCAUCAAGGGAACUGGCAAGGCAGACAUAUGAAGUGAUUGAACAGUUCUUGAUACCUUUGAAGGAAGCUGGAUAUCCAGAGCUCAGGCCUUUGCUCUGUAUUGGUGGAGUGGAUAUGAGAUCGCAGCUUGAUAUUGUGAAGAAGGGUGUUCAUAUUGUUGUUGCCACUCCUGGGAGGUUGAAAGAUAUGUUGGCCAAGAAGAAAAUGAAUCUUGAUAAUUGCAGGUAUUUAACAUUAGAUGAGGCUGAUCGAUUGGUAGAUUUGGGAUUUGAAGAUGACAUUAGAGAAGUUUUUGAUCACUUCAAAGCUCAAAGGCAGACUCUUCUAUUUUCUGCUACUAUGCCUACCAAAAUUCAGAACUUUGCCAGAAGCGCUUUGGUGAAACCUAUUAUUGUCAAUGUGGGACGUGCAGGGGCUGCAAAUCUUGAUGUAAUUCAGGAGGUAGAGUAUGUUAAGCAAGAGGCAAAAAUAGUUUAUCUCCUUGAGUGUCUACAAAAAACCCCACCUCCUGUUCUGAUAUUUUGUGAGAAUAAGGCUGACGUUGAUGACAUCCAUGAAUACCUUCUCUUGAAAGGAGUGGAAGCAGUGGCCAUCCAUGGAGGCAAGGAUCAGGAAGAGAGAGAGUAUGCCAUUGCUGCUUUUAAGGCUGGAAAGAAAGAUGUGUUGGUAGCAACUGAUGUUGCAUCCAAAGGUUUGGAUUUUCCUGAUAUUCAGCAUGUCAUUAACUAUGAUAUGCCAGCUGAAAUUGAAAAUUAUGUCCAUAGGAUUGGAAGGACUGGACGAUGUGGAAAGACUGGUAUAGCGACAACAUUUAUAAACAAGAAUCAAAGUGAGACAACAUUACUUGACUUGAAACACCUCUUGCAAGAAGCAAAGCAAAGGAUUCCCCCAGUUUUGGCUGAGUUGAAUGAUCCAAUGGAAGAUAAUGAAGAGAUCACAGACAUAAGUGGGGUCAAAGGAUGUGCAUAUUGUGGUGGGCUUGGUCAUCGUAUCCGUGAUUGUCCCAAAUUAGAACAUCAGAAGAGCAUGGCGAUAGCAAAUAAUAGAAAGGAUUAUUUUGGAUCUGGAGGUUACAGAGGGGAAAUUUGAAAGGCAUCCUUUGUGUACCAAUUUUCUCUGAACACUACUAGUCUAGGAUGAUUCACAUGGGAAAGUAGCAUAGUCCAGUCAUUUGUUAGGAGUGGAUGCCUUCUGCUCUGCUCACUGCUAGGGUCUCGAUUCUGCAUCUGCAUUGGUUUGGCCCAUAGAUGAUAUCAUUCUCAGCUUUUGACCUGCUUUAACAAAUGUAUGGCAAGUAUGUCUGGUCAAAUACAACCAAUUCACAAAUAUUGGUUUCUGCUGAGUUUGCAUUCAUUCUGCUUGGCACGAGGGCAUUUUUUCUCCAUGAAAUUGAUGUAUUGAGUACAAAGAAUUUCAUCAUCUUUUUCCUUUUUGUGACCCUUUGUAUACUUUCAAGGGACCUGAAGUUUGUUUAGAAUGUCACGGAUGUCUAAUCACUAAUGAGUCUUUGGUUAGAAUUUCCAGGGUUACCAUACCCUUCUGAUGUUUGCUUCUUGGUGCCUUUAUCUGUGUUGAUACACUUGACUUUGGGUCAUUGGAUGGGGAAAAAGAGUAAUUCAGUAUUCUGUAUUUUGGCUAUAUUUGGUAUAUGAGAAUGGGAGUAUACAGCUUGUCUCUGGUUUCUAGAUGUCAAAUGUCCUUGUAAUUUUCACUCAUUGAAAUUUAACAUCGGAUGAUGUUGUGGAAUCUGAACAUCUGCUAAAUUCUUGGGACUUCGACCUUUUCCAAUUCUAAAUUUCUGUAUACUUGUGUCAGGACAAGAACAAUUUAAAUGACAGUGAUACUACUUAUUUGAAUA